AGAGUGAACGCUGGCGGUAGGCCUAACACAUGCAAGUCGAACGGCAGCACAGUAGGAGUUUGCUCUUACGGGUGGCGAGUGGCGGACGGGUGAGGAAUACAUCGGAAUCUACCUUUUGGUGGGGGAUAACGUAGGGAAACUUACGCUAAUACCGCAUACGCCCUUCGGGGGAAGCCGGGGACCAGCAAUGGCCUGGCGCUGAUAGAUGAGCCGAUGUCGGAUUAGCUAGUUGGUGAGGUAAUGGCUCACCAAGGCGACGAUCCGUAGCUGGUCUGAGAGGAUGAUCAGCCACACUGGAACUGAGACACGUCCAGACUCCUACGGAGCAGCAGUGGGGAAUAUUGGAC
rnacentral:rRNA from 1 species